rnacentral:lncRNA from 1 species
GGGGCCUGUCAGGGCUGGGGGCGGGGCGUGCCGUGCCCGAGGCCUCCGCCCGCCCGCCUCUCCCGGUCAGGCCGCGCGGCGCAGCCGCUGCUGUGAGCGAGCGCGGGCCGGGCGGUGCUAACGGCCCGGAGCUGCCCGGUACGUCCGGGUGGGGCGUGAGUGUUCAAACGGGAGCGCAGUACGAACCCGCAUCUCAGCCAGGUAUUCCUUCAUGAAGUUUCUCUUCAGGGAACAGAAGUUCAAUCUAUUCAGCACCCCUUCUUUUACAUGACCUACUUUAAACCUGAUACAAUGCAGCAUGCUCAGAGAGGACAAUGUUAUUGUUGUUGGCUCUAACACGUCAAAACAACAGUCUUGAAAACUUGUGUCUAAAGAUGUGAUGUCACUAUGUUGACAGCAGAGCGGAGAUGAAGCAUCCUGGUGGAAGCCUUUGAUUUCUCUGCACCCUCUACUGCCUGAAACAGCGCUGCGGGUCCUCACACCUCUCUGAGUCGAUCCUUCCCUUUCCGGAGGUACUACAGCUGUUAGUAUUAUUUCCUAAGACAGUGUGUUUAUCUUGUGAGGAUGUGAAAGGGGAAAAGAUGGGAAACAGUUUUUCUGUGCACUUUAUUGUCAUCCACUGAAGAGCGUUCCCUGAAAUGAAAGUGAACCCUCCGCCAGGUCAGUAUUCCCUUUGCAUGCUGCACUCAGGUGCGUGUCACAGAGAGUGUCCA